GCCUUUGUAGUGUAGUGGUAAGCACGCUGGACGCGUAUUCCAGAGGUCCUGGGUUCGCGUUCCGCCGAAGGUG
rnacentral:tRNA from 1 species